UUGAUGGAGAGUUUGAUCCUGGCUCAGGACGAACGCUGGCGGCGUGCUUAACACAUGCAAGUCGGACGA
rnacentral:rRNA from 1 species